ACGAGUAGCAGUCCUUAGAACAAACCUUGUUCAGGUCGGUGAAAUCGACGCAUAUUCUUCAAGCCCCCGUGUCCUUUUUGACCAUGAUUGGAUUGAAUAACUAGGUCGGGUACUUCACCUCCCUGAUCAUCUUUGCAGACAAGAGUUUAUCCACCUCCUCUCCUACUGCUUUACUUCGCUCUGGAUCGAAAUGCCUUCUCUUUUAUUUAACAGGGCAUGUUUGAGGAUCAACAUUCAACUCGUGCAUCAUGAGGUGAUGUGACACACCUUGAACCUCAUUGACAGCCCAAGUAAAAAUGUUUUGAUACUCCUUGAGGAGGUCCACCAUCUAUCUCCUAAGUGAGUCAGGCAAAUGAAUGCCGACGCGGACCGUCUGAUCAGGCUUCGAGACGCCCAGGGGGAUAUCCUCCACCUCAUUUCCGUUCUCUAGCCUCUUCGGCUUCCCGAUUUGUUAGGGAUCGAUGCAAUCGAUCGAAAAUAUAUUGGACCUUCUCUCAGACCUCGGUUUAGAGGUUGAGGGAGAGGCUGCUUGCAAGGUGGCGUAACACUCAAGCGCUGCACAGACAUUACUACUCAUCUCGGCAAUACCUGCCGGGGUUAAAAAUUUGAAACUUAAAUUAUACGUGGAGUAUACUGCACGUAAAGCAUUAAGCGUAGGUCGGCCCAUGAAUAGAUUAUAGGAAAAGUUAGCUUUAACCACGACGAAAUUGACGGGAAUGGUGCGACAGCGAGGGUGAUAUCCCACAGUCACCAUUAGCAUGACCAUCCCUUCAGGGUGUACUACAUGUCCCCCGAACCCUACCAGGAGGUCCUCACGGGAGUUAGCUGCUCCUUGAUUAGCUUCAAGCCGUCAAAAGUUCGGAGAUACAUGACGUCAACCGAACUCCUUGGGUCGAUAUACACCUUCUUGACUAUAUAGUUGUUGAUAAACACUUCAAUCACCAGAGUUUCAUGGCUGUUGGAAGCAGGGAGACGGGGUCAUUGGGGCCGUAAGAUAUCACUUCGGAUAAGCGAGAGUUAGGUCGGCCUAGUCGGGGUUAGUCUGCCUGUAAGUCCUCUUCCGGGAGUUUUGACUGUCUCCUCCCAUCGAAUUUCUGGCAAUGGUGUUGAUGAUCCCAACAAUAUUGGGCCCAUAACCUAGUCCAUGACCCGAGGACCCGUCUCGGGAAGGCCUUCUCGCUUCCCUAGGAUCCUCAGGGGGUCGGCAGCUACUCCUCGACCCACGCCGGUCAUCUCGCGUUGGUCACCCCGACUUUCACGACGAGAGUCGCUCCGUUGGUGACCUCUGUCUCGACGGAUGAAUUGUUUCAAGUGACCUUGUUUGAUGAGGUGCUCUAUCUCUCUUUUGAGAUCAUUGCAAUCUUCCGUCUUGUGCCUGAUAUCCUGGUGGUACAGACAGUAGAGGCUGGAGUUCCUCUUCUCCCUGUUUCCGUACAUCUUCGGAGGGGCACGUCCGAGGUUGUUCUGCUCCAUCACAGAGAAUACUCGGAAUCGACUGGUGUUUAAAGGAGUCAACUCAGAAUCGGGGACAGAUGCCUUCCCCUUGGCUAUCCUAGCAAACACACUUCGACGAUCCCGAUUAGAACUUUAGAAGCCGCCAACAGUACCAACCUCAUUUUGGUUGGUAUCCUUCUUCUUUUGGGAAUCAGGUCCCGAACGAGCCGCUUCGACCUCUUUUUUCAUACGGUGGAGGUCCUCGGCCUGUAUGUCUUUUUCGAUCUUCAACCAGAGUUCCUGGAGCGUGCGAGAAUAUUUCUUGUGUAUCCCGAUAUUAAAUACCCCGACAGCAAGCCCGUGGGUAAAGGCAGUGAUUGUUAUCUGUUCAUUAGGAUCAGGUAUCUACACACUCUCCUCGUGAAACCUUUGUACGCAAGACCGAAGUGACUCUCCCGGAUUCUGCUAGAUAUUCAGCUAGUCGUGGGUCUAAAGGAUAUGAAUCGAUGGAGGAAUCUCUCCACUAGUUUUCCUAGGGUGAAUAUGCUCCUAAGUUCCAAUCCCCAGAACCAUUUUCGAGCAGUGCUCUGGAGGAAUACCAGAAAAGCCCGACAGAUAACUGGAUUAGAAAUGCAAUAUAGUCGGAAAGCCGAGAUGAAAGCAUGAAUGUGGUCUUCAGGAUAAUCUCGGCCAUCAUAAGGAGGUAUUGUGGGGAGGUUGAAAUUCAGAGGGAGCCUUUCCUCAUUGAUCUCGUCUGUGAAAGGCGGGACCCUAAUAUAAUCCAUACCUGAUCUCUCCGGGAGUCGAGGUUCUUCCUCAGGUCGUCGCCCAAAUAAUCCCCGUGAGAAGGCCUUGGAGAGAGAGACUACUUUAGAAGCAGGCUUGGACAAGGCUCACUUCAAGAUGCUCCUCUCCAAACGCCUCCCAUCGGAUUCUUCGUCUGACGGGAGUUCGGGAGAUUCAUCUGACUUCCUCUUAUAGGACUCGACUUUUUGUUUGUUCUACCUCUUAAAAUAUCUCCCCAAUUCCUCAAAGAUAUUUGGAUUCUCUGCCAUUUUUGUCAUGGCUUCUUCGUUUGCUGGUUGAGGUCCUUGGGACCCUUGUCCCUCGGACAUGUUCUCUUCUUAGACCGAAACGCUGGACCCGACCCCAAUGGUGACAAUCUUCUUGCUCCUAGAACCCGUAGGCUUCAUUCUUAGAUGAUAUCGAGUUCCCCCAGACAACGGCAAUUGAAGAGGUGAUUUUUGAUCAGAUAAGCUGCUCCGAAUGCCAGGAAUAUAUGCCGAAUUGGUAGAAUAGUUGAUCAAAGAUCACUUGCUUAGAUUGUUAGAUACGGGGCCUAAUCCCCCGGUUCACCUCUGAAGGCUAAGUUAGUUCAGAAUAAUGUGAAAAUAAUUCUAGAGAGAGAGAGUAGGCUACUUUCUUUACCAAGGAUCUGUCCGUUUCUCAGUAGGAUGUCCUGCUAUUUAUAGGGGACAAUUUGGAGGUACAGACUGUGGGGUCCAGGCCCCUGAAGGACAGAUAGAGACAGCAUAUCACCUUGACGUGACUAAUCUGGACAGAGGGCAGGGUGGCAGAACAGUGGACAGUGUCAGAGGUCACAUCCACCACUGUUUGGGGGUCAGACCCUCUGUCCACAUCUCGGUUAGUGUGGGUCGUAGAACUGUACCGAGGUGAUAGUGGGACGACAAAGUCACCUCGGUGAUCAGGACGCCAGCUCAACCGAGAUGGUUACGCCGGGUGAGGUGAUCGUUCCGAACUGGGGCACACUACGACUUCCCCUAGGCGGAAUGACCAUCCUCACCAGCCAAAUGGCCAGAACGCAAGUCGGCCCUUGGUUGCAUGUGAUACUUCUUCAACAAACCUCUUCGGCUUAAAUUCCUUCACAUCCUCACCCCAUAUAUCCGGGUCAUAAUGCAUUAACAUUAUUGGCAGCACGAGUAGCACCCCAACUGGGAUAGUUAAAUUUCCUAAUUUAGUUUCUUCGGCAAUUCUUCGAGUUGUUGCAGUAAUUGGUGGACAUAACCUUAAAACCUCAUAUAAGAUUAUGUUGACCCAUGAGAAUAGAACAAUAUGCUACGGAUUUUGGUAUAAUGCCAUGAGGGCCUUUCAAACUUGUCUAUUCCAUUCUAGCAUUUGGUAUAAUGCAUUUAGCUGGGAAAGCCCUCUAUACAUGGUAUAUCCAUUCUAACUUUUAUUUUUUUGAAAUCUCAUUCCUCAAAAAAAUUUAGAGAAAGUCCUUUCCACAUUUAUCCUAAAAUACUUAACUAGCAGGAUGUCAAAUUUAUCCUUAUAUAUGUUUAUACUGCAUCAUGAUAUAUUAGCCUAUUUAUAAGCUCAAUUAAUGUUUGAAUGUAAAUUUUUAUAUUACUAAUUUUCCUUGUAUUUAAAAUAAUUUUUUUAUAUACUAGAAAACAAAUGUUUUAGAAUACCUAAUUUUUUGACUUUUGAGUAAUUGUGCAAGAAUUUGAAUCUUACCAUAAUUGAAACUAGAUUAAAAAUAAAUUAUAAUUGUUUGAAUUCAUGUAAUUUAUAUUUUACGUUGCUACUUAUAUUGUUAAAAAAUGCAAAAUUUUAACAAAAAGCUAUAAGACAUAUUAUGUCUUAUAAACUAAUCCAAAGUAAUUAAGCCAAAUUUGUAUUUAAUAUAUUCCAUUCUGAUAUCUAAAUAUUCAUUAUACCAAAUAUUGAAAAAUGAAUAAACAUUUCAUUCUGACUUGUUAGUUUUCAUGUAUGGUUCAUGUUUGACUUAUAGAUAUUAUUAGCAUAACACUUGCAUUUACUAAUACGAAGGAAUAAAUACAAAUUCAAAUGAUAAAUAGGCCAAGGCAGUUGAUUGUAAUUAACAUCUAUACUUUAUAUAAAACUCGAGAAAGGGGUUUGAGGUUGACAUUAGCGUGAACAUUUAUCUCCACUUUAUGAAUUUUUUUUGUCCUUAUAAAACCUACUUUUACUUUAAUUAUUUAUAAUUACCCACGACUAUUUUUAUUUUUAAUUAUUUAAAUAUACAUUUUAAACAUAGUUACCCCUAAACAUUAUAAUUGUCAAUAUAAACUUAUUUUAUGAAAAAUAUUUAAAAGAUUAAAAUUUACUUCAAUAAUAAUUUUUUUAAAAAAAUAUAUGAUCAUAAAUAUUAUGUAUUAUUUUAAUUGCUCAUACAUUAGGUGUGCAUUGAGUACUAAUACAUGUAAGAUUGUCCACAUAUUAAUAGAACUAUGCAACUGCACAAUUCAUUAGGGCCUGAUUAAGAUUAUUAAACUUAUCAACAGCUGUAGCCUUUGGAUUAACCAUAGCGACAAACAAAAGAUGCGGAAUGGAGUUGGGUCACCAUUUCCGUGCCUUUACGUGACUUGACAGAUAAAUAAAAUAAAGUAGCAAGUUGCCGGUUGUCUUACUGGUAUUUUUUUAAAAGUUUUUUUAAUGAUUAAAAAAUUGAUGUGGUAAGCGACAGGAAUCAGCCCGAAUUGAUAUGACAAAACCGGACGAGGGGCCUGGACGGUUGUCAGAGACAACCGUUCCAGGCAGUUCACGGCUAGGAUGAAGUUUUAAAAAUUUGUGCGACUCAAAUCACGUCUUGUAACUCGAUUUUCACAUCGUGUGAGGCCUACAAAAAUGUUAUUCUAUUUUACUCGCUGUUGUUCAAUUGUUACACCUUGUACAGAUGAUGUUACACCAUGUACAAAUGGUGUUACACCUUCCGGAGCGGUUGUUCUGACAACCGCUCCAACCCCGCGUCCGACAAAACCAUUUGCUCUGUACCAAGUUUUGUCAGUCGGAAAAAAACCGCUUGGCCCUCGGGCCCCAUCCUGUCCUCCCACGUGACGAACGCUUUGAACGUGACUAGCGUAAGAAGGACAACGUGAGACACGUGCGUUAAAAAAUCCAUCAUGGGUUUAAAACCGCUUACAAUAUGCCACGGAUUUUGGUGUAUAAUUGACUUGAAAUCUUUUAGGUUAUAGAGACCAUCAAAUUUUGAUAUUUUUGGUCCCAGCAGCAAUUGACUGCGUCGCAAAAUCUCUUCUCCAGCACGUUCUUGCUGAAUGAGAUCAUCGUCCAAACAAGCAAUGGUCUCCAGCCCGGGAAAAUACAGCUGUUAAUACUAGCUAAUAAAAUUUAUAGAGUCUACUAAUUAAUAAUGUUUGAGAACAGCUGUUAAAUGAUUUUUAAGCCACGACAAGCCAUUUGUUUUCUCGAUUACCUAAGAAAAAGGAAAGAUCUCCUGCAAAAUAAAACCAGUAGAUGUAAUAUUUUAUUUCUCUCUUAAUUCGCCAUGAGAAAUACAUUACGUGAAUCUGUGCUGCUGUAUUCAAACAGAUCCAUUGACAUAUCAUAUUGGGCGAGACUUAAACUAAGUUUACAAGCAGCAAAGUUAAGCAUAGAAGGCGUGCUUUAUUUCGUUAAAAGAUAAUCUGCUGCCACAGGGGCUGCUCCAAGUCAUACAUGUGAAACAAAAGCUAUGUAUUCUGCAAAAUCAAGUGAGCUCCAUGCUGGGGUUGAAUUAGUGCUAAUGAGGCUGUUCGAGGAGCAUGAGUAUAAGAUGGUGAGAGUUCAAAGGAGAAGCGUUGCAGAAUCAUAGACAUUGCCAGUUUUGCUUGCAACAUGGCAAAAUUUUGUCCAAUGCAAGUGCGAGGUCCCCAGCCAAAUGGAAAGUAUGCAAGUGCCUGGCCCUUUGUUGCAUGUGAUACUCCUUCAGCAAACCUCUCAGGCUUGAAUUGCUUCACGUCCUCGCCCCAUAUAUCAGGUUCAUGAUGCAUCAGCAUUAUUGGCAAGGUGAUUUGCACUCCAGCCGGGAGAGUUAAAUUUCCUAAUUUAGUUUCUUGAGUAGUUCUUCGACUCAUUAUAGCCACUGGUGGAUACAACCUUAAAACCUCAUGCAAGAUCAUGGUGACCUAUGACAAGGGGACCAAAAAAAAAAAGUGUGAGAGUAAUUAGGUUGUCUAUGUAGACGAGAAGCUUCGAUGAACUUCGUUAGUACGUCUCUCCUGCCAUUAGUGCAAUUUUUCAAAUCAAUGAAAUGAUCAUUGCUAAUUUUAUGUUUUUCAAAGAAAAAGAUUGGCUUACAAUUUUGAGGUGAUUUAGCCCCUCAAAGUCCGGAUCCUUAGUUCCAAAUUGUUGCAAGACCUCCUCUCUAGCACGUGCCUGCCAUUCGGGGUACCUGCAGAGUAAGACCAUUGUCCAAACGAGUACAGCUGAAGUAGUCUCCUGGCCAGCCAAAUAGAACAGCUUGCACUCAUCAACAAUUUCUUCGGUAGUCAUACCAAAGUCCUUGUUUCCAUGCUUCUCGAUUUCUUGAGAAUUGGAUUGAAGCAUUAAUCCCAACAAGUCAUCAGAGCCGGCUUCUCCUGCUCUCAUUGCCUUUCUUCUUGUGUUGAUCAUUUCCCUAACUGAACCAUUAACUUCUAUGGCAAUCUGUUUCAUUCUUCUG
rnacentral:lncRNA from 1 species